UACGGAGGGUGCAAGCGUUAAUCGGAAUUACUGGGCGUAAAGCGCACGUAGGCGGCUUUGUAAGUUAGCGGUGAAAGCCCGGGGCUCAACUCCGGAAUUGCCUUUAAGACUGCAUCGCUAGAAUUGUGGAGAGGUAAGUGGAAUUCCGAGUGUAGAGGUGAAAUUCGUAGAUAUUCGGAAGAACACCAGUGGCGAAGGCGACUUACUGGACACAUAUUGACGCUGAGGUGCGAAAGCGUGGGGAGCAAACAGG
rnacentral:rRNA from 1 species